rnacentral:rRNA from 1 species
GAAAGGGCGCACGGUGAAUGCCUUGGCACUAGGAGCCGAUGAAGGACGGGACUAACACCGAUAUGCUUCGGGGAGCUGUAAGUGAGCUUUGAUCCGGAGAUUUCCGAAUGGGGAAACCCACUGUUCGUAAUGGAACAGUAUCUUUAUCUGAAUACAUAGGAUAUUGAAGGCAGACCCGGGGAACUGAAACAUCUAAGUACCCGGAGGAAGAGAAAGCAAAUGCGAUUUCCUGAGUAGCGGCGAGCGAAACGGAAUUAGCCCAAACCAAGAGGCUUGCCUCUUGGGGUUGUAGGACACUCUAUACGGAGUUACAAAGGAACGAAGUAAAUGAAGCGACCUGGAAAGGUCCGUCGAAGAAGGUAACAACCCUGUAGUUGAAACUUCGUUCCCUCUUGAGUGGAUCCUGAGUACGGCGGAACACGUGAAAUUCCGUCGGAAGCUGGGAGGACCAUCUCCCAAGGCUAAAUACUACCUAGUGACCGAUAGUGAACCAGUACCGUGAGGGAAAGGUGAAAAGCACCCCGGAAGGGGAGUGAAAGAGAUCCUGAAACCGUGUGCCUACAAGUAGUCAGAGCCCGUUAAUGGGUGAUGGCGUGCCUUUUGUAGAAUGAACCGGCGAGUUACGAUCCCAUGCAAGGUUAAGCUGAUAAGGCGGAGCCGUAGCGAAAGCGAGUCUGAAUAGGGCGUUUAGUAUGUGGUUGUAGACCCGAAACCAGGUGAUCUACCCAUGUCCAGGGUGAAGUUCAGGUAACACUGAAUGGAGGCCCGAACCCACGCACGUUGAAAAGUGCGGGGAUGAGGUGUGGGUAGCGGAGAAAUUCCAAUCGAACCUGGAGAUAGCUGGUUCUCUCCGAAAUAGCUUUAGGGCUAGCCUCAUGUUGUGAGAGUCUUGGAGGUAGAGCACUGAUUGGACUAGGGGCCCCCAACGGGUUACCGAAUUCAGUCAAACUCCGAAUGCCAAAGACUUAUCCAUGGGAGUCAGACUGCGAGUGAUAAGAUCCGUAGUCAAAAGGGAAACAGCCCAGACCACCAGCUAAGGUCCCCAAGUAUACGUUAAGUGGAAAAGGAUGUGGAGUUGCUUAGACAACCAGGAUGUUGGCUUAGAAGCAGCCACCAUUUAAAGAGUGCGUAAUAGCUCACUGGUCGAGUGACUCUGCGCCGAAAAUGUACCGGGGCUAAACGUAUCACCGAAGCUGUGGAUUGACAUCUUUGAUGUCAGUGGUAGGAGAGCGUUCUAAGUGCAGCGAAGUCAGACCGUAAGGACUGGUGGAGCGCUUAGAAGUGAGAAUGCCGGUAUGAGUAGCGAAAGACAAGUGAGAAUCUUGUCCACCGAAUGCCUAAGGUUUCCUGAGGAAGGCUCGUCCGCUCAGGGUUAGUCGGGACCUAAGCCGAGGCUGAAAAGCGUAGGCGAUGGCCAACAGGUUGAUAUUCCUGUACCACCUCCCCGCCGUUUGAGUAAUGGGGGGACGCAGUAGGAUAGGGUAAGCGCGCUGCUGGAUAUGCGCGUUCAAGCAGUUAGGCUGAUGAGUAGGCAAAUCCGCUCAUCAUAAAGGCUGAGCUGUGAUGACGAGGGAAUUAUAGUACCGAAGUUCCUGAUUCCACACUGCCAAGAAAAGCCUCUAGCGAGGCGGGAGGUGCCCGUACCGCAAACCGACACAGGUAGGCGAGGAGAGAAUCCUAAGGUGAUCGAGAGAACUCUCGUUAAGGAACUCGGCAAAAUGACCCCGUAACUUCGGGAGAAGGGGUGCUCUGGUAGGGUGUAUAGCCCGAGAGAGCCGCAGUGAAUAGGCCCAGGCGACUGUUUAGCAAAAACACAGGUCUCUGCGAAGCCGCAAGGCGAAGUAUAGGGGCUGACGCCUGCCCGGUGCUGGAAGGUUAAGAGGAGGGGUUAUCCUUUGGGAGAAGCUCUGAAUCGAAGCCCCAGUAAACGGCGGCCGUAACUAUAACGGUCCUAAGGUAGCGAAAUUCCUUGUCGGGUAAGUUCCGACCCGCACGAAAGGCGUAACGAUCUGGGCACUGUCUCAACGAGAGACUCGGUGAAAUUAUAGUACCUGUGAAGAUGCAGGUUACCCGCGACAGGACGGAAAGACCCCGUGGAGCUUUACUGUAGCCUGAUAUUGAAUUUUGGUACAGCUUGUACAGGAUAGGUAGGAGCCUGAGAAGCCGGAGCGCUAGCUUCGGUGGAGGCGUCGGUGGGAUACUACCCUGGCUGUAUUGAAAUUCUAACCCGCGGCCCUGAUCGGGCCGGGAGACAGUGUCAGGUGGGCAGUUUGACUGGGGCGGUCGCCUCCUAAAAUGUAACGGAGGCGCCCAAAGGUUCCCUCAGAAUGGUUGGAAAUCAUUCGUAGAGUGUAAAGGCACAAGGGAGCUUGACUGCGAGACCUACAAGUCGAGCAGGGACGAAAGUCGGGCUUAGUGAUCCGGUGGUUCCGCAUGGAAGGGCCAUCGCUCAACGGAUAAAAGCUACCCCGGGGAUAACAGGCUUAUCUCCCCCAAGAGUCCACAUCGACGGGGAGGUUUGGCACCUCGAUGUCGGCUCAUCGCAUCCUGGGGCUGUAGUCGGUCCCAAGGGUUGGGCUGUUCGCCCAUUAAAGCGGUACGCGAGCUGGGUUCAGAACGUCGUGAGACAGUUCGGUCCCUAUCCGUCGUGGGCGUAGGAAAUUUGAGAGGAGCUGUCCUUAGUACGAGAGGACCGGGAUGGACACACCGCUGGUGUACCAGUUGUCUUGCCAAAGGCAUCGCUGGGUAGCUAUGUGUGGACGGGAUAAGUGCUGAAAGCAUCUAAGCAUGAAGCCCCCCUCAAGAUGAGAUUUCCCAUAGCGCAAGCUAGUAAGAUCCCUGAAAGAUGAUCAGGUUGAUAGGUCAGAGGUGGAAGCGUGGCGACAUGUGUAGCUGACUGAUACUAAUCGAUCGAGGACUUAACC